GGGGAAUAUUGCACAAUGGGCGAAAGCCUGAUGCAGCAACGCCGCGUGAGCGAUGAAGGUCUUCGGAUCGUAAAACUCUGUCCUUGGUGACGAAAAAAUGACGGUAGCCAAGGAGGAAGCCCCGGCUAACUUCGUGCCAGCAGCCGCGGUAAUACGAAGGGGGCUAGCGUUGCUCGGAAUCACUGGGCGUAAAGCGCACGUAGGCGGAUCGUUAAGUCAGGGGUGAAAUCCUGGGGCUCAACCUCAGAACUGCCCUUGAUACUGGCGAUCUCGAGUUCGAGAGAGGUUGGUGGAACUCCGAGUGUUGAGGUGAAAUUCGUAGAUAUUCGGAAGAACACCAGUGGCGAAGGCGGCCAACUGGCUCGAUACUGACGCUGAGGUGCGAAAGCGUGGGGAGCAAACA
rnacentral:rRNA from 1 species